rnacentral:rRNA from 1 species
UACGUAGGUGGCAAGCGUUGUCCGGAAUUAUUGGGCGUAAAGCGCGCGCAGGCGGUUUCUUAAGUCUGAUGUGAAAGCCCCCAGCCCAACCGGGGAGGGUCAUUGGAAACUGGGAAACUUGAGUGCAGAAGAGGAAAGUGGAAUUCCAAGUGUAGCGGUGAAAUGCGUAGAGAUUUGGAGGAACACCAGUGGCGAAGGCGACUUUCUGGUCUGUAACUGACGCUGAGGCGCGAAAGCGUGGGGAGCAAACAGG